CUGAAGCAGCUGUGUAUCAGCCAUUCAUGUUUUUGUUAGCCUUGCAGUUCUCAAAGGAGCUUGGCUGAUUUCUUCUAGGGAGGAAAGAAAGUGCUGGUGAAUCUAAUUAAGAUUCAUCUGCCAUCAAAGGGAUGGAUCCCAAAGUCAGGUAAUUUUAAAUGAAGCCAAAGCUGCCAAUGACGUCUGACUUGGUUAGACUUUACCAGAGACAGGAAAUGUGUGAUGUGGAAGAGGAGGAGAAUUUCAGCUUUAAAGAUGGCAAGUUAGUACUUGUGAUAUUUUUCCUUCCAGCUUUCAGUGUCAUGGCUAGACUGAAGUCUAGAGAAGAUCUCAGAGAUAAUGGACUAUAACUGGUAUGGGUCAUAAUGGCAAGUGUAAUGAAGAUGUGGGGUUAAGGUGACUAGAAGACAAGUCUGUGACAACAUACCAUGAUCCAUGUAGAACCAAUGCCUGCUUUUCCAAAGUCUCUGAAACUCGUCAGAAAAUUGGGGCUGUACUGUGGACCAUCCUAGCACAAGGCAAAGGCACAAAAGCAAGAAGAGACUCCAAGACUUCACAGUUCUUUACAACAGGAAAUGGAACGAAUGCCCAAGAGAGGACUUAGAUCCAGUCCUUUGAAGGGCUAUGGAUUUUUCAACUGCGGGGAUGCACAGGUCUCCUUAUACAAUACAUCACCGUCAGGAAGCAGUCACCCCUGGAUUCUGGUCACUGAUAAUAAAAAGGACUAUCUGAGGAAGAUGAUAAGCACCAAGGAUGCUACAUGGUGGUAGGAAGAAAGGAAGGUAAUUACAAUGGGAUGAAUAAUUCACAUUAAUCAGGUAAGCAGGUAUUUGAGAUCCAGCACAUCUCCCUAUCAGACAAUGCACAGGAAAAUACUGUAAUUGAAGCCACAGAGAGAAUUCCCCACUGACAAUGUUUAUGUAA